CGGCGGCUGCCUGGAAGCUGCUGCCGCCAUGGCGGGGAAGGGAAGGAGUGAGGGCAGCGCAGCCGGGGGGCGCCGGCCCCGCUCCUGCGGCUCGGCCCCUGCCGCCGUGUAGUGUCGGGGAAGGCUUUGUUUAAACGCGUUUCGUCUAUGAAUAGUAUUACUGACAGCAGCGUUGUUCUGGAAAAGGCUCUCCUCCGUGCCCUCAAAACGCGUGUUGCGGGUUAUAUACUCUAGGACAAAGAUUUUGUCAUAAGAAGACUGAUGAUUGCAAAGCUGAGAUUCAGCAGCUUUGGAGAUAGAUUCAGCUGUAAACAGUUGUGGUUGAGACUACCAGAACUGCUCCACCGAGAGAAACAAGAACAGAUGGAUACUUCCUUAACACCUGCUGCUGUGGGAGUCUUCUGAAACACUUGCAAAGUCUGCAGCCCCUGAAGAGUCUGUGGAGAAGCAGUUUACCCUGAAGGACUGCAGUCCAUGGAAGGGCAGAUGCUGGAGCAGAGAAAAUCUAAGUGGAGGAAGGUGUGAGAAAGAGGAGCUCUUAUGGCCUGGGUGCAAUCCCCAUUCUUUCUGCACCGGGCUAGGGGCAGAAGCAAGAUUGGAAUGAAAUAAUGAUGUGGAGACUGAGAAAAGGGGGUAUGAGGGUGGUGGGAAAGUGCUUUAGUUUUUGUUUAAUUUUCUUAUCAUUCUACUCUAUUUUAAUUGUUAAUAUUAACUAAUUUUCUCUCAAUCAUGUCUGUUUUGCCCACAACAGCCAUUGGUGAGCAAUCUCCUUGUCCUCAUCUUAACCCAUGGGUUGUUUUCUUCUUAUUUUUUAAUCCUGUCCCACUGAGGAGGAGCAGGGAGAAAGCAGCAGGGUAGGAGAUUGUUAGCCAUGGCUAAUCUACCAUACUAGUGUAUCAUCUUUGUAGCGUCUCUAAUUUGAUCUGUAUCAAAUGAGAGUAUUCAAAAAGUCACAAUUCUAGAAAAAUAUGGCCAUGUAACUUCAUGUUCUCAAGUUAGGUACAUGAAAGAUUUCUCCUGCCACUUUGUGGGUAAAACUGGACAUUCCAGAAAAAGACAUGUAUAUACGCCUUAUAAUUUUUUAAUUUCUCAAAAGUUAUUCUUAGUCGUUUUCCUCAUUUCUCAUUUUUAAUUACAGAGAGGGUUGGAAAUUAAUUCAAAUUACCCCAAAUAACAUCUGAAAACUAAUUCCAGUUCUUCCUACAUGUUUACAGUUUCCUACAUGUAAGAUGUAUGCACAAAGUAGCAUUUGUCAAGAUAUGAAUACAUAACCCUAAUGACAUUAAUGUCUUAUCCAGGAGUACCUGCUGGAGCAUCAUACUUGCCAAGCAGCGCCAAGGCAGCCUUCUGUACCUUCCUCUUUCUUUCUAAAGCUCAGACUCUCUGCCAUUAUCUCCUCCAAUCAAGCAUGAAUACAUACAUGGCUUCAACUGGCAUUCUGACAAUUCAAGACAUCAGUGACAAAUAUAAACAGGGCUCUUAAAUUUGGAAAUCAGUAUGUAAGAGGUGGUAUGGUUGAACUUUGGAACCAAUAUAAGCUGUAUCUGUAUAAUUCAAACAAUACUGCAAAUGGAAUUAGACAUUUCAACAUCAAUAUUACGUACCUUUAAAAAUUCCAAAAUAUAUUUACAGUAUCUGGAAGUGUUUCUAAUGGAUCUUAUUCACAUGCAGUGUUCAGUCAAGUGGAUUGCCCCCAUAGAGCUUAUGAACACAUCUGAUCCAUAAAACUCAUCUUCCUCACUGACUUGUGUUUUGCCUUGUGACACCUAAUUAUUUGAGCUAGCAGAUCUAAAAUGUACUUAUAGAUUUGUAAUUUUAUUCUGAGUGAAGAAUCAACUCAAUCUAACUUCUAUCCAAUUUCAGAAUGGCAUUAAAAAUACUUGGAAACUGAAAAUCUGCUAAGAUGUUUUUCAUCAAAACAGAUGGGAAUUAUACUUCUGAAAUUGCCUGUGGCCAUUUAUAAGAUUUCUUUUUAAAAAACAGUUCCUCUAUAUUUAUGACAGUGGCUCAUCUAUUGCUACAAACCGAAGCAAAAAAUUUCAACAUAAUGCUAAAAAUGAAGUUAAAGUUUGUAGACGAGCUUCUUCAAAAAGGUUCUGAAUUUGUAGUUAGAGUACUCUCAUUUCUUUUUAUUUCAUGUUUAAUAACUCAUUUUUGCCUGUGAGAGUCUUUUCUUUCUGAAACUUGGCACGACAUAACUUGUUAUUAAUCAGCAUUGUACACACUCAAGUCUUGAUCUUAUUGGUUGCCCCAAGUGCCAUAAAAACAUAAAGGAAGGCAAAUAUCUCAACCGAAAAGCUUAAAUUUAAUGUUUUGUCACAAUUCAGCUGUUAUGCAUGAAGCUGAAUGGCUUAUAAUUCUUAGGUCUUGAGCUGAUACAGGACCAGAUAUUUUAGAAAGCUUAUGUGGCUAGCAAGGCCAGCUAUUUCACUGAAGCCCAACAAGGAUGCAGUACAAUUUCUGACUGUUUUACUAAUGGCAGAGAGCAAUGGAACCCUGGAAUAGGAUAAUCCAGAGUUCCAUUCCAGCUGACUGACCAGGUCAGGACUGACCAAAAGUUAAAGCAUGCUAUUAAGGGCAUUGUACAAAUGCCUCUUAAACACUGACAGGCUUAGAGCAUGGACCACUUCUCUAGGAAGCCUGUUCCAGUGUUUGACCUCCCUCUUAUGAGGAAAGGCUUCCUAAUCCAGUCUGAACCUCCUGUGGUGCAGGUUGAAACUAUUCCUUUCUGUCCUAUCAGUGGGUCAGAGGGAGAAGCGGUCAGAACAUCCCUCUCCACUUCCCCUCUGCAGGAAGCUGCUCCAGAGAGCAAUGAGGUCACCUUUCAGCCUCCUUCACUCCAAACUAGGCAAAACCAAAGUCCUCAGCUGCUCCUCAUAGGACUUGUAUUCUAAGUUCAGAUUAAGUGUUAAUAGAUGACCAGAGUUGAAAUUACUGUGUGUGCAUGUGUAGAAGGAAAACACAGGAAACAGCAAGAGAAUUAAGUCAGAGAGCAAUCCAAACAAGAGAAUUCAGAGUAAAAUGUUAUCAGAUGAAAGAUGUGUCUCCUGUUUCUUAUUUUCCACCAUAUUCAGGAAAAUAGGAUUCCAUGUACAUUUUUCAAAAAUAAACAAGAUUACAACAAAGACAUUUCUGAUUGCAAAAUCAAUUUCAGGGGAAAAUAAAACAAUCUGAAAGGUCUCAAACUGCUUAACUUCUCAAGCUAUAUCUCUGUGGAAUUGUGUCUUGCUCUUCUUCUUAUUAUAGAGCUGUAAGAGAAAAGAAGAGUGUUAUUUCCAAAAUGUUAUAUUUUAUGAGUUACAAACUGAAGGAAAAACAAAAAUAUAUUUGUGAGGCAAUGAAGGAUUAUUGCACAUUCAUUUAAAGCUAAAACAUACAGUUUGUAAUUUAAAAGUAAAUCAUUCUAUAUUUAAAUGUUAUGUUUUUCUUAAGAAGUGACAUCCCCAAGCAAAACAGCAAUGCUGAUUUGUCAUAAGAAAGCCAUUUUGCCAUACAGAAAUAGAAUAUUUUUCAGUUAGAGUUAUUUUGAUCAUUCUGUGAUACAGUUAUUUCUUCUUACAUUAUUAUU